rnacentral:rRNA from 1 species
UACGAAGGGGGCUAGCGUUGCUCGGAAUCAUUGGGCGUAAAGCGCGUGUAGGCGGCUUUGCAAGUCGGGUGUGAAAGCCCUCAGCUCAACUGAGGAAGUGCGCCCGAUACUGGAUGGCUUGAGUUCGGGAGAGGGAUGCGGAAUUCCAGGUGUAGCGGUGAAAUGCGUAGAUAUCUGGAGGAACACCGGUGGCGAAGGCGGCAUCCUGGACCGACACUGACGCUGAGGAGCGAAAGCCAGGGGAGCAAACGGG